UUAUAUUUCAAAAUAUAACAACUUUUCUGUUAUUUAAAGUUUUUUUGUCAAGAACAAGUUGAAAUCAGUUACUUAAUGAAGAUUUGUGUGUCAGGUGUGGUGGCUCACACCUGUAAUCCCAAAAUUUUGGCAGACUGAGUUGAGAGAAUUGAUUUGAGUCCAGGAGUUCGAAACCGGCCUGAGCAACAUAGCCAUCUCUAGUAUCCACUUAAAAAAAAAAUUAGUGGCCAGGCGAGGUGGCUCACGCCUACAAACCCAGCACUUUGG